CACGGCUUGGCCAGGGAGGUGUUGGUGGUGGGGGGCGGGGGGGGGAAAGGAGGACAGCCCACAGUGAAACGGGAUUUUUUGGGAAGGUUGGGGUGCUUCCCUUCCCUGGCGUGACCCCCCUCCCCCUGUUUGCUCCGCAGCUCCAGCACCGCCUGCCCCGGCCUCGACGCAGAAGGGGAGGAUCCAGGCAGACGAUGCGGCCGCACACGUGCUGAGGAGCGUGGGGCAGAACUCGGCCAUGCGCAGCAGCAGCCGCCCCUUCACCUUCCUCAGCCUCCUCCUGCCCCUCCUGCUGUGGCAGGGGCUCUGAGCUGCCCCACGUGCCUGGACCCACCGAGGCUGCAGCCACUGGGGACCCCCGUGGUCCCCCCUCAUCUGCCCCGGGUGCCCUGCCCUGCGCACAUCUGGGCGACGAAAGGAUUUGUCAGUAUUAUGGGGCUGGAGGGCGCAAAGCCAUUGGAGCAGCUGGAGCUUUCAGGCUUCCCUGGCCUUUCCAGGAUGGUCCUGGCAGCCAGAGGCCAAGUUGGAGCCUGGAACUGGAGGGGCUGAAGUGGCCCAGACUGGAGAGGGGCAGGGGGCUGGCACCCCUGCCCCGCAGCUGAGCUUGCCCCCCACCCUCGGGGCUCGGACUGGAACUGGAAUGUGUCCUGCAGGCGGGGACGUGGGGGUGGCCAGGUGACACCGGUGCAGGGGGCCACUUAACCCCGGUGUCAGUGGUCAGGGAGCACAGACAGGCUGGAGAUGCCCUGCCAGGGGAGCGGGGUUAUAAGAAACAUCCCACUCCUCACCGUGCUGCACCCCUACCCCAUCCUUCAUCCCCUGGCCCUUCCCCAUCCCUCCCCUCUGCUGGGUGCCAGAGGGGUCCCCCAGCACCCCCUUUGUACAGCUUUCUAACACGGGACUUUUUAUACCAUUGUUGGGAAUAAAUAACCAAAACCGUGCUGAG
rnacentral:lncRNA from 12 species